AUACGGAGGAUCCGAGCGUUAUCCGGAUUUAUUGGGUUUAAAGGGUGCGCAGGCGGCCAUUUAAGUCAGCGGUUAAAUCGUGGGGCUCAACCCCAUUCUGCCGUUGAUACUGGGUGGCUUGAUUGCGGUCGAGGUUGGCGGAAUUCGUUGUGUAGCGGUGAAAUGCAUAGAUAUGACGAAGAACACCGAUUGCGUAGGCAGCUGACCAGACCGCAAAUGACUCUCAUGCACGAAAGUGCGGGGAUCGAACAGGAUUAGAUGCCCUGGUAGUCCGCACAGUAAACGAUGAAUACUUGUUUUCGGCGAUAUAAUGUCGGAGGCAAAGCGAAAGCGAUAAGUAUUCCACCUGGGGAGUACGCCGGCAACGGUGAAACUCAAAUGAAUUGACGGGG
rnacentral:rRNA from 1 species